UGACGCGCUUGACUGUGUAGUGUGUCUGUGUACCUAAUCAUUGAGACGCACAAUGCGAGAUUUUGCAAAACGUUACAUCUACGAUUCGUCGACAAGGGGUUACAAGAUGACAUGAUUUAUGGGUAAUUGAGAUUAUAUAACAACCAGAUGAGGUAGUAUUCUUCCAUAGUUGUUCGCCGCCAUACCUACGAGUAGUCUUGAAAUCCUGCAGAAAGUCGCGAGACGAUACGUCCAACUCUACAACUUCGUAAUCCUACUACAAUCAUGCAUUUACGCGUUUUUUCAUUUUUAUCUUUUGUUCCGUAGUUUUAUACGUAAAUUCAUUGCCUAUUUCACAGGCGGAAUUUGAUGCUAACAAUGGGGAGGAUAUCUGCAAUUUUCACAACCUGAACGGAGUUUGUAGCAAUCAGGUAAAAAACGGAUCAACAGGCCAAUGUGAAAACGUGAAUGUACAAUUCACUGAUGGACAAGAGGAACGCCGAAUAUUGCUUUGUUAUCAUUCAGGUACUGUCAUGGGGUGCGCGUAUGCUUCUGGAAUUAAUUCUGUAGGAACCAGUUACAGUGCCGCAAACCAUUUAUGCUAUUAGAAUGUAUACAGUAAAUCCAAUUAGGUAUACUUAGAUAUAGCUAUACCUAUACGUUACUAUCAUUUUUCUUUAAUUUUUAUUCCAUACUUUAUAAUUACCUAAUUUAUGUACUUAGUUUUAUUUGCUGACAAAAUCUUGUAGUUCGACACGUUCAUUUUUAAUGCCACAAGAAUUCCAGUUUUUCCCAGAACUUCCAUGAAAAUCGCAUUUUUUAUUUUUUUCGAAUCAUAGCUUUUGAUCGCGAUUUAAGAGAAAAAAUUUCCUUCAAAGUAGCAUUUCGUAGAAUCGUUCAGAUACAAUGAAUUUUCAACAGAACCCUCGUCUCCACAUUUACGAUACCGAUACCUAGUGAAUGACGUCUUAGGUAGAUUCGAGAGUUUAUAGAUACAUAUAAUUUACAAAGCGCUUCGUCGUGAAGAUGAAGAAUACAAUCUCAAAAAAGUGUUCAACACGCCAAUGUGUUUUUCAAUUAUUCAAUUAUUCAUCUCAUUCGUUCAGAUUCAGAUCAUAAUCGUCCUUGAAUAUGUCAUAUUAUCGUAAAUUUAUUUUUUAUUUUAUAAUCGUAACGUUCUAUUCAAAUAAAUACAAUGCGUAAGUUUUAUUCUAA